rnacentral:rRNA from 1 species
UACACUCCUGCGGGAGGCAGCAGUGGGGAAUAUUGGACAAUGGGCGCAAGCCUGAUCCAGCCAUGCCGCGUGAGUGAUGAAGGCCCUAGGGUUGUAAAGCUCUUUCACCGGUGAAGAUAAUGACGGUAACCGGAGAAGAAGCCCCGGCUAACUUCGUGCCAGCAGCCGCGGUAAUACGAAGGGGGCUAGCGUUGUUCGGAUUUACUGGGCGUAAAGCGCACGUAGGCGGACUAUUAAGUCAGGGGUGAAAUCCCGGGGCUCAACCCCGGAACUGCCUUUGAUACUGGUAGUCUUGAGUUCGAGAGAGGUGAGUGGAAUUCCGAGUGUAGAGGUGAAAUUCGUAGAUAUUCGGAGGAACACCAGUGGCGAAGGCGGCUCACUGGCUCGAUACUGACGCUGAGGUGCGAAAGCGUGGGGAGCAAACAGGAUUAGAAACCCUUGUAGUCCCAUGAU